ACACAUGAAUAAAAGUUGAGAGAGAGAGAGGGGGGGGGGAGCAACCUGCUUCAGGAUUUCAGGAAUCUUAAAUCUAUAUCUGUAUAAGAAUUUUUUAAAUGUAAAAAGAGUAAGAGAAGAAAGUAUACAUAUUAAAAAAGUAUGGCUGCAUUUGUAAUAUCUCUGUGGAAUUUCAACGCAAAUAUCCUGGCAUGGAUUGGUUUUUUCAGACAGUGACACUGAUGCAGAAGAUGUGAAGGAUUAUAUGCUUUUAGGUAUGAACAAAGUUGUGGUCAACUACAGAAGAAAGACAUCAGAAAUGGAGAGAGAAAAAAGAUCUCAGUAAAAGAGAUCAGCUUGUAUUUCAGACAUUCUUUUCUGUAAAUUUUGACACUUUACCUGAUUGUAACUACAUGUGUAUAAAAAUCCAUGUCGUUUUGAAAGAGAGAGUGAGUGAUCGACUUGACAAGGAAUUCACUUGACAAGGAAUUGGUGUUUAGCGAAUAAUGAUGAAACCACAGUACCAAUAAUGAUUCAUCACACUUGUCAGAAAGUGAAGGACCCUGAUUAUGAACCAGACCACUGCUCCGACAGUGAUUCAGACUCUCUAAUUGAAGAAAACCAAGAUGAUCUUCCUGACAGUUUUAGGAAAGUGACCUCAUGAUAGAAGUUUCAGAAUGUCCUACCAUUGAUCCUGGAAGUGAAAAAGUAUCUGAUAGUGAAGAAAGCUACAGUAGCAUAGAGAGUGAAAACUAUCCCAUGCUCUCUAGAAAGAAAGAAAAAGACAUUUCUUUUUAAGCCAUAAGGUGUUCCCAAAAAUUCAAUUGGAAACUUCAACAAACUGCAUGCCUGCUUUUUUGUGAUAAGAUGAUUGCUAACAUUGCAAGACAUCUUGAACUAGCACACAAAGCAGAAGUUGAAGUAGCCAGGGUUUUAGCUUUCCCCCCAAAUAGCAAAGAAAGGGGAUAAAUGAAUGAGGAACUUCAAAGUAUUAAUGUGUGCAUUAUGUAUAAAUUUAUUGGAUGUAAUCACUAGUAAAACCGAUUUUGCUUAAUAUACAUUUUUUUCUAUGCACUGCAUAAUUAUGUAGAUGCAAUAACUGGGACUUAACAUUUGAAAAGAAGUUGUUUGUGAUUCUUUGCAAUUGUACUAUGAACCUGUAAGUUACAUCAUUAAAUAUAAUGCUAGAUUCAA